CCUACGGGUGGCAGCAGUGAGGAAUAUUGGUCAAUGGGCGGAAGCCUGAACCAGCCAAGUAGCGUGCAGGAUGACGGCCCUACGGGUUGUAAACUGCUUUUAUACGGGAAUAACGCGCCUUACGUGUAGGGCUUUGCAUGUACCGUAUGAAUAAGGACCGGCUAAUUCCGUGCCAGCAGCCGCGGUAAUACGGAGGAUGCGUGCGUUAUCCGGAUUUACUGGGCGUAAAGCGCUCGUAGGCGGUAUGUCAAGUCAAGGGUGAAAUCCCGGCGCUCAACGUGGGAACUGCCUUUGAAACUGGCAAACUGGAGUGUGUGAGAGGAUAGUGGAAUUCCAGGUGUAGGAAUGAAAUCCGUAGAUAGCUGGAGGAACAUCAGUGGCGAAGGCGACUAUCGGGCACAUAACUGACGCUGAGGAGCGAAAGCGUGGGUAGCAAACAGGAUUAGAUACCCCUGUAGUC
rnacentral:rRNA from 1 species